AAGUGGGGUCCCCCUGAGUGUUAUGGUAUCUGUGAUACAUGCUACAAUGGUGGAGUUUGUGAUGACAAGUCUGGUCUAUGUAUCUGUCCUAACAACUUCAAGGGCCCGAACUGUUUAGAAAUUUGUAGAACUAGCGGUGGAAAUCGCUUUGGAUUGAACUGCGAGUUUCGAUGUUCAUAUAAGAAUAAUGCUGCCACACGAUGUCAUGGGUAUCUGUUUUGCCUUCCUGAUCCUUAUGGAUGUUCAUGUGACGUCGGUGCUCAUGGUCUUGCUUGUAACACAUGUAAGUAUUCCGAUAGUCAUUUAAUGUUGCUCAAAUUCUAAUAGUAAAAAAAUAUAUAUAUAAAUUGUAUUUUUCUUUGAAUAUCAAAAGCACAUACCAUAAUGUGGCCGGAUUCAUGAGUGAGGUCAGGCGCGACUCAGAGGUGAAGAGAAGGAGAAGGAGUAGAAGAAGAAGGAUGUGGAUGAGAAGGA